rnacentral:rRNA from 1 species
UACGUAGGGUGCGAGCGUUGUCCGGAAUUAUUGGGCGUAAAGAGCUCGUAGGCGGUGUGUCACGUCGGCCGUGAAAACCUGCAGCUUAACUGUGGGCGUGCGGUCGAUACGGGCAUCACUGGAGUUCGGCAGGGGAGACUGGAAUUCCUGGUGUAGCGGUGAAAUGCGCAGAUAUCAGGAGGAACACCGGUGGCGAAGGCGGGUCUCUGGGCAGUAACUGACGCUGAGGAGCGAACGCGUGGGGAGCGAACAGG